rnacentral:ncRNA from 2 species
UUUAACGUGAUUGACCGAGGUCGCUGCCAGCCGCAAGGCUCAGCGUGAAAAGGGAAGCAGGUGCGUCUAUGACAAUGCCUGCGCUGCCCCCGCAACGGUAACCGACAGGGCUGCGCUUUCGAGCACAGCACAACGUUUUUCGACAACCACUGGGCGUGCCCGGGAAGGUGAAAAACGCAGUCGGCAGCCCGGAGACCUGCCUCGUUGCAAUUUUUGAC